rnacentral:rRNA from 1 species
AGCGAACGCUGGCGGCAGGCCUAACACAUGCCAGUCGAACGGAUCCUUCGGGAUUAGUGGCGGACGGGUGAGUAACACGUGGGAACGUGCCCUUUGGUUCGGAACAACUCAGGGAAACUUGAGCUAAUACCGGAUGUGCCCUUCGGGGGAAAGAUUUAUCGCCAUUGGAGCGGCCCGCGUCUGAUUAGCUAGUUGGUGAGGUAACGGCCCACCAAGGCGACGAUCAGUAGCUGGUCUGAGAGGAUGAUCAGCCACACUGGGACUGAGACACGGCCCAGACUCCUACGGGAGGCAGCAGUGGGGAAUCUUGCGCAAUGGGCGAAAGCCUGACGCAGCCAUGCCGCGUGAAUGAUGAGGGUCUUAGGAUUGUAAAAUUCUUUCAGCGGGGACGAUAAUGACGGUACCCGCAGAAGAAGCUCCGGCUAACUUCGUG